rnacentral:lncRNA from 1 species
AUGGCGGAGAACGUACGGUCGCCUUUCGACUACCGGGAGCCGCCGACCCUCGACAGCGACGGGGACGGGAGCAAACCUCCGCCGCCACGGGGACGCGUAUGUGGAAGAAAACGGAAGGGCACUCCUGUGAAGGUGUGUGAUCGCGCCUACGUGACCGAAGAUGAAGAGGAAGAGAGCAUGUCUGAGCACAGCUACAGCCCUGGGGAUGGCCAGUACCCAGAGGGGGCAGAGGACCGCCUCCCGCCGCCGGGAAGCCCCUACUACCUGGCCGACCCGUCCCAGCUAUGCGUGCCCGAGCUUGGCGAGGACGGCUCCAGCGGCGUGCGCGGCCCCGUGCUCUUCCACCCGCCGCCCAACUGCCGCAUCCGGGAGGUGCACUGCGGGAGCCAGGUGCGGCUGGUCGUCAUAGCGAUCCGGGACAUCGCCAAGGGCGAGGAGAUCACGGUGGACUACAGCCUCACGGACUGGGGCGAGAACGCCAUGGAGGAAGAGGCAGGGCCACACCCUCUCUCCCUCUCGGUCUCGGAUUACCUCACCCCCUCCUGGUCGCUCUCCCCCUCCUCCUCCCCCCUCACGCACUCUGAGCCCAGCGACUCGGACCGCGAGGAGGAGGAGGAAGAGGAGGAGGAGGAGGAAGACGACGACGAUGACGACGACGAGGAAGAGGACCUGGAGGAGAUGCGCGGCCGCAUGCUCCGGCGCCGCAAGAAGCGCAAGAUGGCCGCCGCCGCCGUCAACCCCAAGAAGAAGAGCUCCGCCCCGCCGCCGCGCCGCACGGCCACUCCUUCGCCGUCCCGCAGCCCUCGUCCUCCUCCAACCCCACCCCGCCGCCGCUCUUCUCCUCCUCCUCCUCCUCCUCCUCCUCCCGGGAGCGGGAGUCGCCCGCCACGCGCUCGGCCGGCCCCGCCGUCUCCUUCUCGCUCUCCCUGUCGCCGCCGUCCCUGGCCCCGCCCGCCGCCGCCGCCGCCGCCGGCAGCAGGAAGGGCGGCGGGCCGACGGCGCCGGCCGCCAAGCGCGGCGCCGGCGCCUGUCAGGCGGCGUCCCGGGUCAAGAGCCCCUCGCCACCGCCGCCCCCGGCCGCCCCGCCGCCGCAGGUGGCCCCGCCCCCUCCGGCGCCGGCCUCCUCGCCGCCCGCCCCCCGGAGGGGCCAGAGGAUGA